rnacentral:tRNA from 1 species
GGGCGUGUAGCUCAGUUGGUAGAGCGUGUCAUUAGCAUCUUCUAUCCCUACUUGACAAGGUCUUUGGUUCGAUUCCUAACUCGUCCA